rfam:Picea glauca, whole genome shotgun sequence.
AGCUUUGAAGUUCAAUUUCAAACGGUCGUUGAGAAGAAUCCUUUGCAGACGACUUAAAUACACGACGGGGUAUUGUAAGUGGCAGAGUGGCCUUGCUGCCACGAUCCAUUGAGAUUCAACCCUUCGUCACCUCGAUUCAG